UCCGUUGUCGUCCAGCGUUAGGAUAUCUGGCUUUCACCCAGGAGACCGGGUUCAAUUCCGGCAACGGAA
rnacentral:tRNA from 1 species